GAGCAACUAAGAUACUUUUCUGUGUAUCUGAAACAACUGCCAUGAUGUUUUAAUAUCAAUUGUCCCAGCUAUUACCAGAUGAGUGCAUAAAAGAUCUCCUCACACUAUUUACUUCAGAACGCAAAUCCAGGUCCAUUGUUAACUAGAGGGGCAACAGCAGGUGCAGCAGCAGGAUUAGCAGUUGCAGGAGUCCCAGAGAAAGCAGCACUUCCCGAAUGUGAUUUGAUAUAAACUUGCCAUCCACCAUUUCAACACCAGCCUGAAAGGAGGAGCAAAGAAAGGACCUGUUUCUUCUUCAUACAUCUUCCAUGCUUUAUUUCUAAUCAAUAUUGGUUGAACAGAACAGCUGUAGUAUUCUAAAGAUAAGUGUCAUCUUAGGGCUUGUUGCUCAAUUCCAGCAAUAAAAAAAUAGCCAUACUGGGUCAGACCAAAGGUCCAUCUAGCCCAGUAUCUCGUCUUCCAACAAUGGUCCAUGCUAGGUGCCCUAGAGGAAAUGAACAG